GAAUUCGCCCUUAGAGUUUGAUUCUGGCUCAGGACGAAAGCUGGCGGCAUGCCUAACACAUGCAAGUCGAACGGAAAGUAGCAAUAUUUUCAGUGGCGAACGGGUGAGUAACACUUGAGCAACCUACCUUGUACUUUGGAAUAACUCCUAGAAAUGGGUGCUAAUACCGAAUAAGACCACGAAGAGGCAUCUCUUCGGGGUCAAAGCUCCGGCGGUACAAGAUGGGCUCGAGUCCAAUUAGCUAGAUGGUGAGAUAACAGCCCACCAUGGCAACGAUUGGUAGCCGGCCUGAGAGGGUGAUCGGCCACACUGGAACUGAGACACGGUCCAGACUCCUACGGGAGGCAGCAGUGGGGAAUAUUGGGCAAUGGGCGAAAGCCUUACCCAGCAAUGCCGCGUGUAUGAAGAAGGUCUUCGGAUUAUAAAGUACUAUAUUGGGGAAGAACACAAUGACGGUACCCAAGAGAAAAAGCCCCGGCUAACUAUGUGCCAGCAGCCGCGGUAAUACAUAGGGGGCUAGCUUUGUUCGGAAUUACUGGGCGUAAAGGGUGCGUAGGUGGCAAUGUAUGUUGGAAGUGUAAUCCCUCGGGCUUAACUCAGGGGCUGCUUCCAAAACUGCAUUACUUGAGUGUCGGAGAGGAAAACGGAAUUCCUAGUGUAGCGGUGAAAUGCUCAGAUAUUAGGAGGAACACCAGAGGCGAAGGCGGUUUUCUGGACGACAACUGACGCUGAGGCACGAAAGCGUGGGGAGCGAUAAAGGUUAGAUACCCCAGUAGUCCACGCCGUAAAUGAUGAGUAAAGGGUGUUGGAGGGUUUCCACCCCUCAGUGCUGGAGGUAACGCAAAAAGCACUCCGCCUGGGGAGGACGGCCGCAAGGCUGAAACUCAAAGGAAAUGACGGGGACCCGCACAAGCGGUGGAGCAUGUGGUUUAAUUUGAAGCAACGCGAAGAACCUUACCAGGUCUUGACAUACGAUGCAUAGCCUAGAGAUAGGUGAAACCCUUCGGGGCAUCGAUACAGGUGGUGCAUGGUUGUCGUCAGCUCGUGUCGUGAGAUGUUUGGUUAAGUCCAGCAACGAGCGCAACCCUUAUUACUAGUUGCCAGCACUCAGUUGGGGACUCUAGUGAGACUGCCGGUGACAAACCGGAGGAAGGUGGGGAGGACGUCAAAUCAUCAUGCCCCCUAUGACCUGGGCUACACACGUGCUACAAUGGAUGGUACAACGAGGAGGGAACUCGCAAGGGCAAGCAAAUCUCUUAAAGCCAUUCUCAGUUCGGAUUGUUCUCUGCAACUCGAGAGCAUGAAGCCGGAAUCGCUAGUAAUCGCGGAUCAGCACGCCGCGGUGAAUAAAAAGCCGGGUCUUGUUCACACCGCCCGUCA
rnacentral:rRNA from 1 species